rnacentral:rRNA from 1 species
GAUGAACGCUGGCGGCGUGCUUAACACAUGCAAGUCGAACGGUGAAGGCGGAGCUUGCUCUGCUGGAUCAGUGGCGAACGGGUGAGUAACACGUGAGCAAUCUGCCCCUGACUCUGGGAUAAGCGCUGGAAACGGCGUCUAAUACUGGAUACGAGCUGCGGAGGCAUCUUCAGCAGCUGGAAAGAAUUUCGGUCAGGGAUGAGCUCGCGGCCUAUCAGCUUGUUGGUGAGGUAAUGGCUCACCAAGGCGUCGACGGGUAGCCGGCCUGAGAGGGUGACCGGCCACACUGGGACUGAGACACGGCCCAGACUCCUACGGGAGGCAGCAGUGGGGAAUAUUGCACAAUGAGCGAAAGCCUGAUGCAGCAACGCCGCGUGAGGGACGACGGCCUUCGGGUUGUAAACCUCUUUUAGCAGGGAAGAAGCGAAAGUGACGGUACCUGCAGAAAAAGCGCCGGCUAACUACGUG